CCAACAGGGAUUGCCUCAGUAACGGCGAGUGAAGCGGCAACAGCUCAAAUUUGAAAUCUGGCCUCGCGGUCCGAGUUGUAAUUUGCAGAGGAUGCCUCGGGCGCGAUGCCGGUCUAAGUUCCUUGGAACAGGACGUCGCAGAGGGUGAGAAUCCCGUACGUGACCGGCGGUCAACCCCGUGUGAGGCUCCUUCGACGAGUCGAGUUGUUUGGGAAUGCAGCUCUAAAUGGGUGGUAAAUUUCAUCUAAAGCUAAAUACCGGCCAGAGACCGAUAGCGCACAAGUAGAGUGAUCGAAAGAUGAAAAGCACUUUGGAAAGAGAGUUAAAAAGUACGUGAAAUUGUUGAAAGGGAAGCGCUUGCAACCAGACUUGCCCGCGGGUGAUCCCCCGUCCUUCGGGGCGGUGCACUCGCCCGCGAUCAGGCCAGUAUCGGUUUCGGCGGCCGGACAAAGACGUCGGGAAUGUGGCUUCCUCCGGGGAGUGUUAUAGCCCGGCGCGCAAUGCGGCCAGCCGGGACCGAGGACCGCGCUUCGGCUAGGAUACUGGCGUAAUGGUUGUCAGCGACCCGUCUUGAAACACGGACCAAGGAGUCUAACAUCUAUGCGAGUGUUUGGGUGUCAAACCCAUGCGCGCAAUGAAAGUGAACGGAGGUGGGAACCUUUCGGGGGGCACCAUCGACCGAUCCUGAUGUCUUCGGAUGGAUUUGAGUACGAGCAUAGCUGUUGGGACCCGAAAGGUAUGUUUUCUGUCUCGUCUGUUUUUCUACGAAUCUAUGCUAACUGCUUCUGUUGAAAGAUGGUGAACUAUGCGUGAAUAG
rnacentral:rRNA from 1 species